UGCUUUGAGGGAUUAGAGUUCUCAGAAUCUUCCAAUUGGCACAUAUACACUGGAAGAUUUUGAGAACUAUGGUCUCCAAAAAC
ensembl:miRNA aca-mir-5450 aca-mir-5450